rnacentral:tRNA from 2 species
GGGUCUGUAGCUCAGCUGGUUAGAGCGCACGCCUGAUAAGCGUGAGGUCGGAGGUUCAAGUCCUCCCAGACCCACCA